CCUACGGGUGGCAGCAGUGGGGGAUAUUGCACAAUGGGGGAAACCCUGAUGCAGCGACGCCGCGUGUGGGAAGACGGUCCUCUGGAUUGUAAACCACUGUCCCCAGGGACGAAGAUGACGGUACCUGGGGAGGAAGCUCCGGCUAACUACGUGCCAGCAGCCGCGGUAAUACGUAGGGAGCGAGCGUUGUCCGGAAUUACUGGGUGUAAAGGGAGCGUAGGCGGGACUGCAAGUUGGGUGUCAAAUCUACCGGCUCAACCGGUAGCCGCACUCAAAACUGCAGUUCUUGAGUGAAGUAGAGGCAGGCGGAAUUCGUAGUGUAGCGGUGAAAUGCGUAGAUAUUAGGAGGAACACCAGUGGCGAAGGCGGCCUGCUGGGCUUUUACUGACGCUGAGGCUCGAAAGUGUGGGGAGCGAACAGGAUUAGAUACCCCAGUAGUC
rnacentral:rRNA from 1 species